rnacentral:rRNA from 1 species
ACUCAAAUGAAUUGACGGGGGCCCGCACAAGCGGUGGAGUAUGUGGUUUAAUUCGACGCAACGCGCAGAACCUUACCUAGACUUGACAUCCCGGGGAUUUUCUGGAAACAGAGAAGUGCUUUAGCAAUAAAGAACCCGGUGACAGGUGCUGCAUGGCUGUCGUCAGCUCGUGUCGUGAGAUGUUGGGUUAAGUCCCGCAACGAGCGCAACCCUCGCCUUUAGUUGCCAGCAUUCAGUUGGGCACUCUAGAGGGACUGCCGGUGUCAAACCGGAGGAAGGUGGGGAUGACGUCAAGUCCUCAUGGCCUUUAUGUCUAGGGCUACACACGUACUACAAUGGCCGGUACAAAGGGCAGCCACUCAGCGAUGAGGCGCUAAUCCCAUAAAGCCGGUCUCAGUCCGGAUCGCAGUCUGCAACUCGACUGCGUGAAGUUGGAAUCGCUAGUAAUCGUGGAUCAGCAUGCCACGGUGAAUACGUUCCCGGGCCUUGCACACACCGCCCGU